UUGAACGCUGGCGGCAUGCUUUACACAUGCAAGUCGAACGGUAGAGGGCUUCGGCCCUUGAGAGUGGCGAACGGGUGAGUAAUGCAUCGGAACAUACCCAGUCGUGGGGGAUAACGUAGCGAAAGUUACGCUAAUACCGCAUACGUCCUGAGGGAGAAAGGGGGGGAUCGCAAGACCUCUCGCUUUCGGAGUGGCCGAUAUCAGAUUAGCUAGUUGGUGAGGUAAAGGCUCACCAAGGCGACGAUCUGUAGCUGGUCUGAGAGGACGACCAGCCACACUGGGACUGAGACACGGCCCAGACUCCUACGGGAGGCAGCAGUGGGGAAUUUUGGACAAUGGGCGCAAGCCUGAUCCAGCCAUGCCGCGUGAGUGAAGAAGGCCUUCGGGUUGUAAAGCUCUUUCGGACAGAAAGAAAUCGCACUGGUUAAUACCUUGUGUGGAUGACGGUACUGUAAGAAGAAGCACCGGCUAACUACGU
rnacentral:rRNA from 1 species